CUGGUCUUAGCCAAGUGGUCACCAUAGCAGAAUCAAAAUCUGUUUAUCCUGGACUGCGUAGGUUCGAAACCUGCCGAUUAGA